UACGGGGGGAGCAAGCGUUGUUCGGAUUUACUGGGCGUAAAGGGCGCGUAGGCGGCCACCGCAAGUCGGUUGUGAAAUCUCUGGGCUUAACCCAGAAAGGUCAACCGAUACUGCGGGGCUAGAGUGCAGAAGGGGCAACUGGAAUUCUCGGUGUAGCGGUGAAAUGCGUAGAUAUCGAGAGGAACACCUGCGGCGAAGGCGGGUUGCUGGGCUGACACUGACGCUGAUUGUGCGAAAGCUAGGGGAGCGAACGGG
rnacentral:rRNA from 1 species